GCACUGCUGAUGACUCCCACAAUAGGACGAAACGGUCGUCCAGUGC
rfam:Schistosoma rodhaini strain Burundi genome assembly, scaffold: SROB_scaffold0004401